GGAGCGGUGCGAGAGAGGCCGAAUCGGGCUCCCUGCUAAGGAGUUAUACCCCAAAAGGGUAUCGAGGGUUCGAAUCCCUCCUGCUCCG
rnacentral:tRNA from 1 species